rnacentral:rRNA from 1 species
GUGUCAGCAGCCGCGGUAAAACGUAGGGGACAAGCGUUAUCCGGAUUUACUGGGCGUAAAGCGCCCGUAGGCGGCUAAAUAAGUUGGACGUGAAAGCUCCCGGCUUAACUGGGAGAGGCCGUUCAAAACUGUUUAGCUAGAGUGAGGAAGAGGAGAGCAGAAUUCCCGGUGUAGUGGUGGAAUGCGUAGAGAUCGGGAGGAAUACCAGUGGCGAAAGCGGCUCUCUGGUCCUAAACUGACGCUGAGGGGCGAAAGCGUGGGGAGCGAACGGGAUUAGAAACCCCCGUAGUCC